rnacentral:rRNA from 1 species
GAUGAACGCUGGCUACAGGCUUAACACAUGCAAGUCGAGGGGAAACGGCAUUGGGUGCUUGCACUGAAUGGACGUCGACCGGCGCACGGGUGAGUAACGCGUAUCCAACCUUCCCGUUACUGCGGGAUAACCUGCCGAAAGGCAGACUAAUACCGCAUGUUCUUCGAUGACGGCAUCAGAUUCGAAGCAAAGAUUCUUCGGUAACGGAGGGGGAUGCGUCUGAUUAGCUGGUUGGCGGGGCGACGGCCCACCAAGGCGACGAUCAGUAGGGGUUCUGAGAGGAAGGUCCCCCACAUUGGAACUGAGACACGGUCCAAACUCCUACGGGAGGCAGCAGUGAGGAAUAUUGGUCAAUGGGCGGAAGCCUGAACCAGCCAAGUAGCGUGCAGGAGGACGGCCCUACGGGUUGUAAACUGCUUUUAUGCGGGGAUAAAGUGAGGGACGCGUCCCUUUUUGCAGGUACCGCAUGAAUAAGGACCGGCUAAUUCCGUGCCAGCAGCCGCGGUAAUACGGAAGGUCCGGGCGUUAUCCGGAUUUAUUGGGUUUAAAGGGAGCGUAGGCCGGGGAUUAAGUGUGUUGUGAAAUGUAGGCGCCCAACGUCUGACUUGCAGCGCAUACUGGUUCCCUUGAGUACGCGCAACGCCGGCGGAAUUCGUCGUGUAGCGGUGAAAUGCUUAGAUAUGACGAAGAACCCCGAUUGCGAAGGCAGCCGGCGGGAGCGCAACUGACGCUGAAGCUCGAAGGUGCGGGUAUCGAACAGG